GCCCAGACUCCUACGGGAGGCAGCAGUGAGGGAUAUUGGUCAAUGGGGGAAACCCUGAACCAGCAACGCCGCGUGAGGGAAGACGGUUUUCGGAUUGUAAACCUCUGUCCUCUGUGAAGAUAAUGACGGUAGCAGAGGAGGAAGCUCCGGCUAACUACGUGCCAGCAGCCGCGGUAAUACGGAGGAUGCGAGCGUUAUCCGGAUUUAUUGGGUUUAAAGGGUGCGUAGGCGGGCUGUUAAGUCAGCGGUCAAAUGUCGGGGCUCAACCCCGGCCUGCCGUUGAAACUGCAUCCCUUGAGUGCGCGAGAAGUAUGCGGAAUGCGUGGUGUAGCGGUGAAAUGCAUAGAUAUCACGCAGAACUCCGAUUGCGAAGGCAGCAUACCGGCGCGCAACUGACGCUCAUGCACGAAAGCGUGGGUAUCGAACAGGAUUAGAUACCCUCGUAC
rnacentral:rRNA from 1 species